CAGUUCUAUAUCAUACUGUUGUGCAACGGCAGAGCUGUCUUGAUCAACUAAUUGAUGGCUUGUCCCACUAUGGAGUUUUAUCACUCUUGAGAGAGAACCCCAGCUUGCGUGUGCUGCUUGACAUACCAGGAGAGGACAAAGGUCAAGAAGCUGAUUUUGUAGCUGGUAUUCUCAAACCAAGCUACUCUGCACUGGGGAGCAACAGAAGAGCUAAAGAGGAGUUGAUGAUGGUCAAAUUUAGGGAGUUUCUACAAUGUGUUGAAAGUAAAGAGCUGAGAGACACAUAUGGGGACAGGACUCUAACAAACGAUGAGGAGCAUUCCUGAAGACU